AGGCAUGGCCACGCUACCCUGGAUGUGCCUGAUCUCCUCUGAUCCCAAAGCUAAGCAGGGUCAGGCCUGGUCAGUGCGUGGAUGGGAGGUGCUCUGUACC
rnacentral:rRNA from 1 species